rnacentral:rRNA from 1 species
CCUACGGGAGGCAGCAGUGGGGGAUAUUGCACAAUGGGGGAAACCCUGAUGCAGCGACGCCGCGUGGGUGAAGAAGUAUUUCGGUAUGUAAAGCCCUAUCAGCAGGGAAGAAAGAAGACGGUACCUGACUAAGAAGCCCCGGCUAACUACGUGCCAGCAGCCGCGGUAAUACGUAGGGAGCGAGCGUUAUCCGGAUUCACUGGGUGUAAAGGGAGCGUAGACGGCCGUGCAAGCCAGGAGUGAAAGCCCGGGGCCCAACCCCGGGACUGCUCUUGGAACUGUGCGGCUGGAGUGCGGGAGGGGCAGGCGGAAUUCCUGGUGUAGCGGUGAAAUGCGUAGAUAUCAGGAGGAACACCGGCGGCGAAGGCGGCCUGCUGGACCGCGACUGACGUUGAGGCUCGAAAGCGUGGGGAGCGAACAGGAUUAGAUACCCCAGUAGUC